UAUCCAAAACAUACAUGUAUUUUUGUUCCUUAUCAUUCAAGUGUCGUACAUAUUAUUUCAGGUGACACCCUUGUGGAUUGCAUCCUUGGUGACUCAGCAUUUAGAAUUGUGGAAGGCCUUUGCAGGAUCACUUUAUAUUACUUUGUUGGGAAUACUGAUUAGGGGCUUAAGUGGGGUCUCACUGAUCUGAUGGAUAAGGGAGGUUAGCAGCUUCUUGUACAGGUAAUCAGCAACAUCUCUAUUUAUACCUGAAUUUCUUAUUAUUACUAGGUAACUCAAGCUGAAAUUGGAGGACAAGUCACAGUAAGACUGUGUUGGAAGACGAAAUGCUUGCCAGGAUGGGAGCUGGUUGGUGGAGAAUUUGAUUUGGAGAUGAACUUUAUUAUCCAGGAUGCUGAGAGUAUAACGUGCACAACAGAGUUUUUUGUGGCACUGUGGUGUAACAUGUCAAGUAGAAAUCAUGGAGCAAGUUUGCAGCCAUUGUAUGAAUAAGUGCUUGGAAUUUACAGACUAGCACAGAAUUUGGGUUGAUUGAACAAGUAUUGCUGAAAAUGCGUGCUGUAGAAGACAUGAUAGCAGACAAUUGCAUUGCCUCCUAUUGUAAAGUGGCCUUAUAGAAUGGCUUCACCCUGCACACUUGGUUUCACAUGGAUCCAUUAAAUAACAUUAAUGUUGAUGAGGAUAAACUUUAUC